GAUGAACGCUGGCGGCGUGCCUAAUACAUGCAAGUCGAACGCAGAAGCAGGGGCUUGCUCUUCUGGAUGAGUUGCGAACGGGUGAGUAACGCGUAGGUAACCUGCCUGGUAGUGGGGGAUAACUAUAGGAAACGAUAGCUAAUACCGCAUAACAACAGCUGUUGCAUGAUGACUGUUGGAAAGUUGCAACUGCUCCACUACCAGACGGAGCUGCGUUGUAUUAGCUAGUUGGUGUGGUAACGGCUCACGAAGGCGACGAUGCAGAUCAGACAGGCGAGGGGGGGCGGCCAGCCUGGGACGGAGACCGGGCACAGAGGGCUUGAGGAGGGGGCCGUAGGGAAACGUCGGGAAUGGGCGGAAGUCUGACCGAACUAGGCCGAGGCAUGGAAGAAGGAUGUCGGGUCGUAAAGGACGGUUGUCGGGGAAGAAAGAGCGUGAGAGUGGAAAGUUCACUGUGUGACGGUAACUGAUCAGAAAGCAACGGCUAACUACGUG
rnacentral:rRNA from 1 species